UCGGCUGCGAUCUGAACCUGAGAGUUUGAUCCUGGCUCAGAACGAACGCUGGCGGCAUGCCUAACACAUGCAAGUCGAACGAAGGCUUCGGCCUUAGUGGCGCACGGGUGAGUAACACGUGGGAACCUGCCUU
rnacentral:rRNA from 1 species